UUUUAGCCCUGAUAGAGGCGAUAUCCUCUCCUCCCGAUGGCUAUCGGGAGGAGAGAUAAAGCCGAAAGCAGGAAAUCAU
rfam:Flavobacterium plurextorum strain CCTG 60112 WGS0045_contig_16, whole genome shotgun sequence.